rnacentral:rRNA from 1 species
ACACUGGCUUCCCCGCAAGGGGCAGGAGUUGAGGUGCUGCAUGGCUGUCGUCAGCUCGUGUCGUGAGAUGUUGGGUUAAGUCCCGCAAUGAGCGCAACCCUUGUCCUGUGUUGCUACUCCGCAAGGAGGCACUCUCAGGAGACCGCCAGCGAUAAGUUGGAGGAAGGUGGGGAUGACGUCAAGUCAUCAUGGCCUUUAUGUCCAGGGCUACACACGUGCUACAAUGGACGGUACAAAGCGCAGCCAACCCGCGAGGGGGAGCUAAUCGCAAAAAACCGUUCUCAGUUCGGAUUGCAGGCUGCAACUCGCCUGCAUGAAGCUGGAAUCGCUAGUAAUGGCAUAUCAGAACGAUGCCGUGAAUACGUUCCCGGGCCUUGUACACACCGCCCGUCACAUCACGAAAGUGGAUUGUACUAGAAGCCUGCGCGCCGACCCGCAAGGGGGGUAGCGGUCCAAGGUAUGAUUCAUGAUUGGGGUGAAGUGGUAACAAGGUAGCCGUAGGAGAACCUGCGGCUGG